CGGAAACAUAAAUAUUAUGCAAAAACAGGCAUGUUUCGGUGGAGUUAAUCUCUGUGCAAUCCUUUCCUUCCAAGCCCAGCAGCUCUGCUGGAUUCUAGUUACCAACCAAGCCCUGGGCAGGCCCUUCAAAUGCAUCAUGGCCUUGUUUCUAUCCCCAGGCUUGAUUUACUCCUGGCUGCUCUUUUUCAAAAAAUAAACUGGAUGAUGGCCAGAAUCAUAGGGUGAAAAAAUAGCCCUGAUGAAAGUGUUCUGGA
rnacentral:lncRNA from 1 species